rnacentral:snRNA from 1 species
UCACUUACCUGGACGAGGUCAAUGGGUGAUCAAGAAGGUCCAUGGCCUAGGUUGGUGACCUCCAUUGCACUUUGGAGGGGUGCCCGCUUAAUGUCGGCCCAAGUGGUCGAGCCUACGUCAAAAUUUGUGGCUGUGGAGGCCUGCGUUCGCGCGGCCUCUU